UUAAAUUGAAGAGUUUGAUCAUGGCUCAGAUUGAACGCUGGCGGCAGGCCUAACACAUGCAAGUCGAGCGGAAACGAGUUAUCUGAACCUUCGGGGGACGAUAACGGCGUCGAGCGGCGGACGGGUGAGUAA
rnacentral:rRNA from 1 species